UACGAAGGGGGCUAGCGUUGCUCGGAAUCACUGGGCGUAAAGCGCACGUAGGCGGAUUGUUAAGUCAGGGGUGAAAUCCUGGAGCUCAACUCCAGAACUGCCUUUGAUACUGGCGAUCUCGAGUCCGGGAGAGGUGAGUGGAACUGCGAGUGUAGAGGUGAAAUUCGUAGAUAUUCGCAAGAACACCAGUGGCGAAGGCGGCUCACUGGCCCGGUAUGACGCUGAGGUGCGAAAGCG
rnacentral:rRNA from 1 species